rnacentral:rRNA from 1 species
AGCAAAUCUCCAAAAGACCGUCCCAGUUCGGAUUGCAGGCUGCAACCCGCCUGCAUGAAGUUGGAAUCGCUAGUAAUCGCGGAUCAGCAUGCCGCGGUGAAUACGUUCCCGGGCCUUGUACACACCGCCCGUCACACCAUGAGAGUCGGGAACACCCGAAGUCCGUAGCCUAACCGCAAGGGGGGCGCGGCCGAAGGUAGAGCCAAUGAUUGGGGUGAAGUCGUAACAAGGUACC